rnacentral:rRNA from 1 species
UCCCAGCAGUCCAAGUAGCAAUCACAUUUAUUGGGUCUAAAACAUCCGUAGCUUGCUUUGUAAGUCUCUUGUGAAAUCCGGUCUCUUAAGGACCGGCAUGCGAGAGAUACUGCAAAGCUUGGGACCGGGAGACGUAAUGAGUACAGUGGGAGUAGCGGUAAAAUGUGUUGAUCCUCACUGGACUAACAACAGCGAAGGCACGUUACGAGAACGGAUCUGACAGUCAGGGAUGAAGGCUAGGGGCGCAAAGUGG